CUAGUUGGGGGGGUAACGGCUUCCCAAGGCUGCGAUCGGUAGCUGGUCUGAGAGGACGAUCAGCCACACUGGGAUUGAGAACGGCCCAGACUCCUACGGGGGGCAGCAGUGAGGAAUUUUCCGCAAUGGACGAAAGUCUGACGGAGCAACGCCGCGUGCAGGAUGAAGGUUUUCGGAUCGUAAACUGCUUUUCUCGGGGACGAGCAAGGACGGUACCCGAGGAAGAAGCCCCGGCUAACUACGUGCCAGCAGCCGCGGUAAUACGUAGGGGGCGAGCGUUGUCCGGAUUUAUUGGGCGUAAAGCGCACGCAGGCGGUGCGGUAAGUUUGGGGUGACAGUUGUCGGCUUAACCGAGAGAGUGUCCCAAAGACUGCCGGACUUGAGGGCCAAAGAGGAACACAGAAUUCCGGGUGUAGUGAUGAAAUGCGUAGAUAUCCGGAGGAACACCAAAGGCGAAGGCAAUGUCCUGGCUGUCUCCUGACGCUCAGGUGCGAAAGCUAGGGGAGCGAACGGGAUUAGAUACCCCGGUAGUCCUAGCCGUAAACGAUGACCACUAGGUGUGCGGAGUAUCGACCCUCUGCGCGCCGGAGCUAACGCAAUAAGUGGUCCGCCUGGGGAGUACGGUCGCAAGAUUAAAACUCAAAGGAAUUGACG
rnacentral:rRNA from 1 species